rnacentral:rRNA from 1 species
UCGCAAGACUAAUACUCAAAGGAAUUGACGGGGACCCGCACAAGCGGUGGAGCAUGUGGUUUAAUUCGAUGCAACGCGAAAAACCUUACCACUCCUUGACAUGGAGAUUAGAUCCUUCUUAACGGAAGGGCGCAGUUCGGCUGGAUCUCGCACAGGUGCUGCAUGGCUGUCGUCAGCUCGUGUCGUGAGAUGUUGGGUUAAGUCCCGCAACGAGCGUAACCCUCAUCCUUAGUUGCCAGCGGGUUAAGCCGGGCACUUUAAGGAAACUGCCAGUGGUAAACUGGAGGAAGGUGGGGAUGAUGUCAAGUCAGCACGGCCCUUAUGGGGUGGGCUACACACGUGCUACAAUGGUGACUACAAUAGGUUGCAAUGUCGCAAGGCUGAGCUAAUCCGUAAAAGUCAUCUCAGUUCGGAUUGUCCUCUGCAACUCGAGGGCAUGAAGUCGGAAUCGCUAGUAAUCGUGGAUCAGCAUGCCACGGUGAAUACGUUCUCGGGUCUUGUACACACUGCCCGUCACGCCAUGGGAAUUGGCUUAACUCGAAGCUGGUGCGCUAACCGAAA